GAUCAAGCUACAAAGGGCGCAUGGUGGAUGCCUUGGCACCAGGAGCCGAUGAAGGACGUGGUAAGCUGCGAAAAGCUGCGGGUAGCCGCAAACAGGCUGUGAUCCGCAGAUGUCCGAAUGGGGGAACCCGCAUGGCUAACGCCAUGCAUCCUUAGCUGAAUCCAUAGGCUAAGGAGGGCACACCCGGGGAACUGAAACAUCUAAGUACCCGGAGGAAAAGAAAGAAUAAUCGAUUCCCUAAGUAGCGGCGAGCGAAAGGGGAGGAGCCCAAACCAGAGGAAACUCUGGGGUUGCGGACAGGUCAAGAAAGCGAAGGAGUUCUUAGCCGAAUAGGUCUGGAAAGGCCAGCCACAGAAGGUAAAAGCCCUGUAGGCGAAAAGGACUUUGAGCGAGACCUGAUCCAGAGUACAACGGGACACGAGGAACCCUGUGGGAAGCAGGGAGGACCACCUCCCAAGGCUAAAUACUACCUGGUG
rnacentral:ncRNA from 1 species